UUGUGUUAUCAUUUUGACUAUUUUUAGUGUCGAGAAGCAGGGUUUGUUCUUCAAGAAGAACUSUUGCGAGUUGUCACUGAACUCCAUAGGAAACAAAGGAAAUACCACACCAUGGUAGCAGAAACCAAGGCAGCUGAAGCCAAACUAAAGAGUACAGAGCAUCAAUUACUAAAAUCAGAAGAAUCAGGAAGAAAGAAUGAUAAAAUGACAAAACAAAAAGAAAAGCAUCAACUWAGGUACUCAGAAAACAAGAGGAAAAGUAUCAAAGCAAAGAAUGAAUACAUUAUGUAUUUACAAGCUACUAAUAAGUUCUUACAGACCUACUUUAACAAGAACUUG